AUUGAACGCUGGCGGCAGGCCUAAAACAUGCAAGUCGAACGAGUGGCGGACGGGUGAGUAAUGUCUGGGAAACGGCCCGAUGGGGGGGGAUAAAUACUGGAAACGGUGGCUAAUACCGCAUACCAUCAGAUGUGCCCCGAUGGGAUUAGGUAGUAGGUGGGGUAACGGCGCACCUAGGCCACGAGCCCUAGCUGGUCUGAGAGGAUGACCAGCCACACUGGAACGGAGACACGGUCCAGACUCCUACGGGAGGCAGCAGUGGGGAAUAUUGCACAAUGGGCGCAAGCCGGAUGCAGCCAUGCCGCGGGUAUGAAGAAGGCCUUCGGGUUGUAAAGUACUUUCAGCGAGGAGGCGUUACCCGCAGAAGAAGCACCGGCUAACUCCGUGCCAGCAGCCGCGGUAAUUC
rnacentral:rRNA from 1 species